ACUUAUCCACAGCAAGAUUAAUCAUGGGCAAAGUGAUCCAUUUAUAGCUGUUUCCCCCCCACCUUCAGCCUCUUGCACUGUGGAACCACAGCAACAGAUAAUCAAUUCUUCAUGGUGUUUCCAGUGAAUCCAUUUUAAUUCAAGUUGCAUUUAAUUCAAAUUUUCUGUGAAAAUUUUUGGGACUUAGGCCAGAUAAAAAGAUUUAUACUUAUAAGAACACUUGGUUUAUUGAAUUAUAACUGAUAUACCAAAAAACUACACAUUUAAUGUAUACAGCUUCUUAACAACUGUUGAUUUAACAUUGAAUUAUCUGAAUAGGCUAUUUCCAAAGAUUGUCCAAUCUUUCACACUAAAACUUACUAAAGAGAAGAUCAGCUUGAAGAGGAUUCUUUCUGAACACUUCCAAACAUCAUUAAGAUCAUCUAACUACUAAGGCUACUAAGGUUUAGCUGCUGCUGUGUAUCCAAUCUGCUACUUCAAAUCAGACUGUUAGGCAUCCCAGAUGAUUGAGUAACCGACUACAUCCUGACUUUGUUCACAAGAGUUCCUCAUGGCUAUACUCUUAACAGAGUCUUCACCAAGUAAUCUUCAAGUACUGAGAAACUGAAAAUUUAUUAACGCCUCAAGAAAAACCUUAUAAGGAUUUACAGUUCAAUAAAAUUCAAGCAUUUAUUAUUUGUUAAAA